UAAGUUAGAAAGGGCGCACGGUGGAUGCCUUGACACUAGGAGUCGAUGAAGGACGGGACUAACGCCGAUAUGCUUCGGGGAGCUGUAAGUAAGCUUUGAUCCGAAGAUUUCCGAAUGGGGAAACCCACCAUACGUAAUGGUAUGGUAUCCUUAUCUGAAUACAUAGGGUAAGGAAGACAGACCCAGGGAACUGAAACAUCUAAGUACCUGGAGGAAGAGAAAGCAAAUGCGAUUUCCUGAGUAGCGGCGAGCGAAACGGAACAUAGCCCAACCAAGAGGCUUGCCUCUUGGGGUUGUAGGACAUUCUAUACGGAGUUACAAAGGAACGAGGUAGACGAAGCGACCUGGAAAGGUCCGUCGUAGAGGGUAACAACCCCGUAGUCGAAACUUCGUUCUCUCUUGAAUGUAUCCUGAGUACGGCGGAACACGUGAAAUUCCGUCGGAAUCUGGGAGGACCAUCUCCCAAGGCUAAAUACUCCCUAGUGAUCGAUAGUGAACCAGUACCGUGAGGGAAAGGUGAAAAGCACCCCGGAAGGGGAGUGAAAGAGAUCCUGAAACCGUGUGCCUACAAAUAGUCAGAGCCCGUUAACGGGUGAUGGCGUGCCUUUUGUAGAAUGAACCGGCGAGUUACGAUCCCGUGCGAGGUUAAGCUGAAGAGGCGGAGCCGCAGCGAAAGCGAGUCUGAAUAGGGCGUUUAGUACGUGGUCGUAGACCCGAAACCAGGUGAUCUACCCAUGUCCAGGGUGAAGUUCAGGUAACACUGAAUGGAGGCCCGAACCCACGCACGUUGAAAAGUGCGGGGAUGAGGUGUGGGUAGCGGAGAAAUUCCAAUCGAACCUGGAGAUAGCUGGUUCUCCCCGAAAUAGCUUUAGGGCUAGCCUUAAGUGUAAGAGUCUUGGAGGUAGAGCACUGAUUGGACUAGGGGUCCUCAUCGGAUUACCGAAUUCAGUCAAACUCCGAAUGCCAAUGACUUAUCCUUAGGAGUCAGACUGCGAGUGAUAAGAUCCGUAGUCAAAAGGGAAACAGCCCAGACCGCCAGCUAAGGUCCCAAAGUGUGUAUUAAGUGGAAAAGGAUGUGGAGUUGCUUAGACAACUAGGAUGUUGGCUUAGAAGCAGCCACCAUUUAAAGAGUGCGUUAAUAGCUCACUAGUCGAGUGACUCUGCGCCGAAAAUGUACCGGGGCUAAAUACACCACCGAAGCUGCGGAUUGAUACCAAUGGUAUCAGUGGUAGGGGAGCGUUCUAAGGACAGUGAAGUCAGACCGGAAGGACUGGUGGAGUGCUUAGAAGUGAGAAUGCCGGUAUGAGUAGCGAAAGACGGGUGAGAAUCCCGUCCACCGAAUGCCUAAGGUUUCCUGAGGAAGGCUCGUCCGCUCAGGGUUAGUCAGGACCUAAGCCGAGGCCGACAGGCGUAGGCGAUGGACAACAGGUUGAUAUUCCUGUACCACCUCUUUAUCGUUUGAGCAAUGGAGGGACGCAGAAGGAUAGAAGAAGCGUGCGAUUGGUUGUGCACGUCCAAGCAGUUAGGCUGAUAAGUAGGCAAAUCCGCUUAUCGUGAAGGCUGAGCUGUGAUGGGGAAGCUCCUUAUGGAGCGAAGUCUUUGAUUCCCCGCUGCCAAGAAAAGCUUCUAGCGAGAUAAAAGGUGCCUGUACCGCAAACCGACACAGGUAGGCGAGGAGAGAAUCCUAAGGUGUGCGAGAGAACUCUGGUUAAGGAACUCGGCAAAAUGACCCCGUAACUUCGGGAGAAGGGGUGCUUUCUUAACGGAAAGCCGCAGUGAAUAGGCCCAAGCGACUGUUUAGCAAAAACACAGCUCUCUGCGAAGCCGUAAGGCGAAGUAUAGGGGGUGACACCUGCCCGGUGCUGGAAGGUUAAGGAGAGGGGUUAGCGUAAGCGAAGCUCUGAACUGAAGCCCCAGUAAACGGCGGCCGUAACUAUAACGGUCCUAAGGUAGCGAAAUUCCUUGUCGGGUAAGUUCCGACCCGCACGAAAGGUGUAACGAUUUGGGCACUGUCUCAACCAGAGACUCGGUGAAAUUAUAGUACCUGUGAAGAUGCAGGUUACCCGCGACAGGACGGAAAGACCCCGUGGAGCUUUACUGUAGCCUGAUAUUGAAUUUUGGUACAGUUUGUACAGGAUAGGCGGGAGCCUUUGAAACCGGAGCGCUAGCUUCGGUGGAGGCGCUGGUGGGAUACCGCCCUGACUGUAUUGAAAUUCUAACCUACGGGUCUUAUCGACCCGGGAGACAGUGUCAGGUGGGCAGUUUGACUGGGGCGGUCGCCUCCUAAAGUGUAACGGAGGCGCCCAAAGGUUCCCUCAGAAUGGUUGGAAAUCAUUCGUAGAGUGCAAAGGCAUAAGGGAGCUUGACUGCGAGACCUACAAGUCGAGCAGGGACGAAAGUCGGGCUUAGUGAUCCGGUGGUUCCGCAUGGAAGGGCCAUCGCUCAACGGAUAAAAGCUACCCCGGGGAUAACAGGCUUAUCUCCCCCAAGAGUCCACAUCGACGGGGAGGUUUGGCACCUCGAUGUCGGCUCAUCGCAUCCUGGGGCUGUAGUCGGUCCCAAGGGUUGGGCUGUUCGCCCAUUAAAGCGGUACGCGAGCUGGGUUCAGAACGUCGUGAGACAGUUCGGUCCCUAUCCGUCGUGGGCGUAGGAAAUUUGAGAGGAGCUGUCCUUAGUACGAGAGGACCGGGAUGGACGCACCGCUGGUGUACCAGUUGUUCUGCCAAGGGCAUAGCUGGGUAGCUAUGUGCGGAAGGGAUAAGUGCUGAAAGCAUCUAAGCAUGAAGCCCCCCUCAAGAUGAGAUUUCCCAUAGCGUAAGCUAGUAAGAUCCCUGAAAGAUGAUCAGGUUGAUAGGUUCGAGGUGGAAGCAUGGUGACAUGUGGAGCUGACGAAUACUAAUAGAUCGAGGACUUAACCA
rnacentral:rRNA from 1 species